AUACUUACCUGGCAGAGGCGGAACCGUGACCAAAAAGGUGGUUUUCCUGGGGAGAGAUCUACACUUGCGGUGUUUUGAUGCCCGCGAUUUUCUCAAAUUCGGGAAACGCAACUGCAUAAUCUGUGGUAGUGGGGAACUGCAUUUGCGGUCUACCCUG